GCGCCCUUAGCUCAAUUGGAUAGAGCGCUUGGCUACGGACCAGGAGGUUUGGGGUUCGAAUCCCUAAGGGCGUGCCA
rnacentral:tRNA from 1 species